UACGUAGGUGGCAAGCGUUGUCCGGAUUUAUUGGGUUUAAAGGGUGCGUAGGCGGUGUCCUAAGUCAGUUGUGAAAUACGGCAGCUUAACUGUCGAGGUGCAAUUGAUACUGGGAUACUUGAGUACUGAUGAGGUAUGCGGAAUGGACGGUGUAGCGGUGAAAUGCUUAGAUAUGACAUAGAACACCUAUUGCGAAGGCAGCUUACUACGCAGAUAUUGACGCUCAUGCACGAAAGCGUGGGGAUCAAACAGG
rnacentral:rRNA from 1 species